rnacentral:rRNA from 1 species
AAACCGUCCAGGGGUAAACCUGCGAAACUCGAAUGAACGAACGGGGAGAUUCAUCGUCAUUCCUCGGCGCACGGGCGCGGGAUGUGCGCGGCUCCGGCCGCGUGCACCGCUCGCGUCCGCGCGUCCGGGGACGGCGUGCACUUCUCCCUCAGUAAUACAUCGCGACCCGUUCGAUGUCGGUCUACGUGCCCCGGGAGUCGGCGGCUCAGACCGCACCGACCGGCCGUCGGACGGUACAAACGAAACGCUCACGCGCGCGCGUCCGGCCCGACGCAAGGCACGUCGUAUCCCGCGUCCUGCCAUCGCGCGGACGAGGGUGCGGCGCGCCUGUCGUCGCCGCCGUGCCGUCUCGGACUGUGUGCGUAUCCGUCUGCGAUGAUUCAGUUUCGGGCACUCGCAGGACCCGUCUUGA